AUAUGUUUAAAUGUGUUUAGUUGGUAUUGAUUUUUUUUCUUUUUUUCUUCAUGUUAAUUUUGAACCCUUAUAGCAGCAAUAUAAUGCAAUUUCAUAUGUUUUCCUCUAACUCUCAUUGUGAAUAUCCAUAAAAAGAAAGGAAGUGUGCUAUUUUGCUGUAUAUCUCAAUCUUUAUUAUUUUAAAUGUCAUGUAGUUUGUUUAACAAUUAAA
rnacentral:lncRNA from 1 species